rnacentral:rRNA from 1 species
AUUGAACGCUGGCGGCAGGCCUAACACAUGCAAGUCGAACGAGUGGCGGACGGGUGAGUAAUGUCUGGGAAACUGCCUGAUGGAGGGGGAUAACUACUGGAAACGGUAGCUAAUAACGCAUACCAUCGGAUGUGCCAAGAUGGGCUUAGCUUGUUGGUGGGGUAACGGCUCACCAAGGCGACGAUCCCUAGCUGGUCUGAGAGGAUGACCAGCCACACUGGAACUGAGACACGGUCCAGCCUCCUACGGGAGGCAGCAGUGGGGAAUAUUGCACAAGGGGCGCAAGCCUGAUGCAGCCAUGCCGCGUGUAUGAAGAAGGCCCUAGGGUUGUAAAGUACUUUCAGUCGGGAGGCGUUACCGACAGAAGAAGCACCGGCUAACUCCGUGCCAGCAGCCGCGGUAAUAC